CCAAAGAUAGCCGAAGAUAAUAAGAUUUCCAAACACUUCCGAAGAUCACCCGAAGCCUUCCGACAAUUAAUGAUUAUCACCCGAACACUUUCCACCAUUUUUGAAAAUCACUCGAACCCAUCCGAGAAGUUCCAAAGAUUGCCGAAGAUCACCCGAAGAUUUCCAGAAAUUUCCCAACAUGGUGGUUAAUUUCCGAAAUCUCUGAAGAUAUUUUAAACAAGAUAACCACUGUCCGCUGUCUAAAUUAAUUAAUGUAAAGCCAAAGAUUGUAAACAGUCACUUUUUUAAGUGCAUAAUCAACAAGUCAUCAUAUGGUCAUUCUCAUGCAAUCUGGAAUAAAUAAGCAGACUUUGACCAAUUUAUUUACACUAAGUCGCCUUCGAAAUGUGAUUACCUGUGCUUAUAUUUCUGUAGCAAUGAUCGCAGUAAUUUAUCUAAUAGUAUCUUUUGCAUUUUUUUUAUUAUUCCAGUGAACUGUAUAGCAGCAAGAUUGCCACGUUUGAAGAAAACCCUUUCCUGUCGCUCAGAAUAACUAAUGGAAUCCUUGAACUUCAGAACAAUGCCAUUCAAGCUGUUACACGAAAGCUGUUUGGAGAUUCUGGAUCAUCCGUAAAGACACUGGAUCUUUCUAACAACCAAAUACAAUCUUUCCAUGAAGAUGCUUUAAAAGGUGUAUCAAUUGAAACAAUCAAGCUAAUGAACAACAAGCUGGUUACAUUUCCAUCAAGAACUUUACGGAAUCAAAAUCCCAUUGAAAUCGACAUGUCCAAUAAUAAGAUCC